UUUGAAUUUUAGGGUAUCAAAGAGUAGCUGAAGGAAAGUCCCACCUCUCUAAGCUAAUUUUUGUUCAGGUAUUGGGAAUCUUGUAGCUGUGAUUUUGUUUCCCAUACUUAUGUAUUCUUUCCAAAUGGGUGCAACUGGUGCAGCAAUUUCCACAGUUGUGUCUCAAUAUGUUGUCACCUUCUUAAUGCUAUGGUUUCUAAAUAAGAGAGCAAUACUACUGCCUCCAAAGAUGGGAUCAUUACAAUUUGGAGGAUACAUAAAAUCUGGU